AAUCAGUGCUGAAAAUCGUCUCUCAUCCGCCAAAACAUCUUCGGCGUUGUAAGGUUAAGCCUCACGGUUCAUUAGUACCGGUUAGCUCAACGCAUCGCUGCGCUUACACACCCGGCCUAUCAACGUCGUCGUCUUCAACGUUCCUUCAGGAGACCUAAAGUCUCAGGGAGAACUCAUCUCGGGGCAAGUUUCGUGCUUAGAUGCUUUCAGCACUUAUCUCUUCCGCAUUUAGCUACCGGGCAGUGCCAUUGGCAUGACAACCCGAACACCAGUGAUGCGUCCACUCCGGUCCUCUCGUACUAGGAGCAGCCCCCCUCAGUUCUCCAGCGCCCACGGCAGAUAGGGACCGAACUGUCUCACGACGUUCUAAACCCAGCUCGCGUACCACUUUAAAUGGCGAACAGCCAUACCCUUGGGACCUACUUCAGCCCCAGGAUGUGAUGAGCCGACAUCGAGGUGCCAAACACCGCCGUCGAUAUGAACUCUUGGGCGGUAUCAGCCUGUUAUCCCCGGAGUACCUUUUAUCCGUUGAGCGAUGGCCCUUCCAUUCAGAACCACCGGAUCACUAUGACCUGCUUUCGCACCUGCUCGCGCCGUCACGCUCGCAGUCAAGCUGGCUUAUGCCAUUGCACUAACCUCCUGAUGUCCGACCAGGAUUAGCCAACCUUCGUGCUCCUCCGUUACUCUUUAGGAGGAGACCGCCCCAGUCAAACUACCCACCAGACACUGUCCGCAACCCGGGUAACGGGUCCACGUUAGAACAUCAAACAUUAAAGGGUGGUAUUUCAAGGUCGGCUCCAUGCAGACUGGCGUCCACACUUCAAAGCCUCCCACCUAUCCUACACAUCAAGGCUCAAUGUUCAGUGUCAAGCUAUAGUAAAGGUUCACGGGGUCUUUCCGUCUUGCCGCGGGUACACUGCAUCUUCACAGCGAGUUCAAUUUCACUGAGUCUCGGGUGGAGACAGCCUGGCCAUCAUUACGCCAUUCGUGCAGGUCGGAACUUACCCGACAAGGAAUUUCGCUACCUUAGGACCGUUAUAGUUACGGCCGCCGUUUACCGGGGCUUCGAUCAGGAGCUUCGCUUGCGCUGACCCCAUCAAUUAACCUUCCGGCACCGGGCAGGCGUCACACCGUAUACGUCCACUUUCGUGUUUGCACAGUGCUGUGUUUUUAAUAAACAGUUGCAGCCAGCUGGUAUCUUCGACUGACUUCAGCUCCAUGAGUAAAUCACUUCACCUACGUGUCAGCGUGCCUUCUCCCGAAGUUACGGCACCAUUUUGCCUAGUUCCUUCACCCGAGUUCUCUCAAGCGCCUUGGUAUUCUCUACCUGACCACCUGUGUCGGUUUGGGGUACGAUUUGAUGUUACCUGAUGCUUAGAGGCUUUUCCUGGAAGCAGGGCAUUUGUUGCUUCAGCACCGUAGUGCCUCGUCGUCACGCCUCAGUGUUAAAGUGAACCGGAUUUACCUGGAACACACACCUACACGCUUAAACCGGGACAACCGUCGCCCGGCCAACAUA
rnacentral:rRNA from 1 species